UUUUUAUAUUUUUAGUAGAGAUGGGGUUUUACCAUCUUGGCCAGGCUGGUCUUGAACUCCUGACCUCGUGAUCCAUCCACCUAGGCCUCCCAAAGUGCUGGGAUUACAGGUGUGAGGAGCUCUCGAGCCUGGGAGUAUAAGACUGCAGUGAGCUACUAUCACAUAGUUGCACGCCAGCCUGGGUGACAGGGUGAAACCCUAUCCAAAUAAUAAUAAUAAUAAUUUGACAAAUAAAGUCUCUUUUAAUGUAGCUGGAAUUGUGUAAGAAAGUCUUUCCUCAGCAAAUAAGAAAUGGACUAUGAAAUCUCCCAGAAUCUUUUUUAGCCCCUAAUUAGCUAUAAAUCUCCUGACAGUUUAGCCAUGGGAGGCCCAAGACAUGAAUUGGUGGCAUGGCACAUGGUCUAAUGUGCAUAUUGUAUAAAGUUAUCUAAAUACAUCUUGAGAGAGUCCACGCUUUCUCCAUUCUUUUGAAGUACAUUUCCAUGGGUAGCAGACAGAUGAACAAAAUGCUGGUUCUAGGACCUCAGAUAUACUGUACCUGUUUCAAUCAGAUGCAUAACUGUGGUAGGGCUGUUAUUGUUUACUUUUCAUACUAUCACUAGCAACUUUAAUUUUUGGUUAAGUUCUCGAAAUCUCUUUCUGGAAAAGCAAAUGAUAUCACAUUCUCCAUUCUCCUGGUUAACAGUGUCAUUAUCACACUGCAGAUUCUCAAACAAACAGCUAAGUUCCACUGUCAUUCCGAAUCCUUUCUCUUUCUUUUGUAAUGCAUUCACAAAC
rnacentral:lncRNA from 1 species